rnacentral:tRNA from 1 species
GAGGGUAUAGCUCAGUGGUACAGCGUGUGCUUAGCAUGCAUGAGGUCCUGGGUUCAAUCCCUAUGACCUCC